AUUCAAUUCUUUACCUGCAAGCCAUCCGGCGAGGCAUUAAUCUAGUCUCUCUCUCGGUAUUUCUUCCGGCUUCAGGUUCUUGGUAUCUUUAUUCUUCGUUUACUUCUUUCGAUAUUUUUGCUAAUUAGGGUUUCAGCGAUCCGUGGAUGCUAUGGUUUCAGCGAUCUGUGGAUGCAGGGUUUCAGCGAUAAGGGGAAACUAGGUUUUGUCAUACGAUCCGUAAAUUAUGAUUUUGCUCUCCUGCUCUACGCAAUUAGCGUUUUUCGAUUUACGAAAUCUUCUCCUGAUAUUGAAUAGUUUUAGAUCGUGUUGCAUAUGCUUGGAGUUUGGAUCAUCUUCUGUGCCUCGUGUUUGAUUUGCCUUUAAAUCUUUACUAUGAAUUUGAAUUAAUUACUCAAAUUCGCAUGAUAGACAGUUGGUCUUGUCACUUCCAGGAUUGAAAUCGUUUGGAUAUGCUUAUUUGGUUGUAAUCUUGACGUUUAGAAGAUCCUGCCUUGAAUUUUGGCUUUCCUUGCGUUGGAUUCAUCCUCUCAGCAAUUUAUUGUAGCUCUGCUUUGUGGUAUUUGGUGCGGGUCUAUAUUGGAAGCUUAAAGCUAAUGUUUGAGGAAACAUGGAUUCAAAGAAUUAUUUUCUACAUGAUUUUUUUUGGAACACGUGACAGUGCUGGAGGGCGAGUUAUGUGAGAAAAUGUAGUCUGGGUGGUUUGGUUUCGUUACUUCCUCUUCAGUUUGCGCGAUUCUGAAUUAAUUUAACAAGUCUUUUUUGCAAAAUGGUGUCGCACUCUUCUCAUUUGUGCGAUCAUGAUGCUUAUAGCAGGACAUGGGGACCCCUAACUUUAUAAUCAAUCUUUUUGGAACCUGUGACAGUGCUGGAGGGCGACUUAUGUGAGAAAAUUUUGUCUGGCUGGUUUGGUUCCUUUACUUCCUCCAGUUUGCAUGAUUCUGAAUUAAUUUAACAAGACUAUUUUGCAAAAUGGUGUAACACUUCUCAUUUGUGCGAUCAUGGUGCUUACAGCAGGGCAUGGUGACUCCUGACUUUAUAAUUAAUCUUUUUGGAACCUGUGACCGUGCUGGAGGGCGAGUUAUGUGAGGAAAUUUUGUCUGGUUGGUUUGGUUCCUUUACUUUCUCUUCAGUUUGCGUGAUUCUGAAUUAGUUGAACAAGAUUUUUUUUGCAAAAUGGAGUCACACUUCUCAUUUGUGUGAUCAUGAUGCUUAUAGCAGCGCAUGGUGACCCCUAACUUUAUAAUCAAUCUUUUUGGAACCUAUGGCUGUGUUGGAGGGCGAGUUAUGUGAGAAAAUUUUGUCUGGCUGAUUUGGCCUCCUUUACUUCCUCUUCAGUUUGCGUGAUUCUGAAUUAAUUUAACAAGUCUUUUAUGCAAAAUGGUGUCACUCUUCUCAUUUGUGUGAUCACGAUGCUUAUAACAGGGCAUGGUGACCCCUAACUUUAUAAUUAAUCUUUUUGGAACCUGUGACAGUGCUGGAGGGCGAGUUAUGUGAGAAAAUUUUGUCUGGUUGGUUUGGUUCCUUUACUUCCUCCAGUUUGCGUGAUUCUGAAUUAAUUUAACAAGUCUUUUUUGCAAAAUGGUGUCACACAUAUCAUUUGUGCGAUCAUGAUGCUUAUAACAGGGCAUGGUGACCCCUAACUUUAUAAUCAAUCUUUUUGGAACCUGUGGCAGUGCUGGAGGGCGAGUUAUGUGAGAAAAUUGUCUGGCUGAUUUGGUUACUUUACUUCCUCUUCAGUUUGCGUGAUUCUGAAUUAAUUUAACAAGUCUUUUAUGCAAAAUGGUGCCACACUCUUCUCAUUUGUGCGGUCGUGAUGCCUAUAGCAGGGCAUGGUGUCCCCUAACUUUAUUCUCGAUUGCAGUCAACAAUUCUCAUUAAUUGCCACUUAUUUUAGAUGCUGUCCUUUUGUGGCUCCCAGGACCCCUUUAGUUUUCGAAUGGAAAAUGAAGUCUGCUUUUUCAGUGCUUUAAGGAAUGUUCGGGCUGGCAUAUUUCAGAAUCAACACUUAUGCGGUCAUGAUGCUUGUAGCAGGGCAUGGUGUCCCCGAACGUUAUUUUGGAUUGCAGUCAACAAUUCUCAUUCCCAAUCCCACUCAUUCUAGAUGCUUUUUCAGUGCUGUAAGGAAUGUUUGGGCUGGCAUAUUUCGGAAUUAACUUGGUGUUGCUAGGGCUGCAUCUUUUCAUUUUCAUCCGCCAAGAUUUUUUAUAGCUGAUCACUUUUCAACACUUUUAACUUUGAUUUCUCAUUUUGAUCAAUAAUUUUAUGUUGGCCUCCUGUUUUGCUUGUUUUCUUGGCCUUUUGUCAGUGGUUUUAUGUUGACUUCUACUAGCUUCAUAUCCAUCUUCAACAAUAGGGCUGUUUUCUUUGCUCUUUUAUCUCUAUAUCCUUUUCAACUGCUGACAGCUCCCUCUCAACAAUUCUUUUAUUUGUUUUAUUUUGUGCAGAUAUUUUCUAGAUGAUUAUGUUUUCCACAAGAUCACCAUUUACUUCCUUACUUUGGUUUUUUGAUUCAGUUUCCAAUCACAUAUCAAAACAAAUGUUUCAUUCUAGUCAAUAAGUUUACUUUAACAAAACAUAACUAGUGUCUAACCUUCUCGCACUUGUUUUUCUAGGAACGUUGCAAUUUAUCAAGGAACAUAUAUGGGCUGCAAUUUUUUGGGAGUGUUUAUCCCAUUAACUACCCUUGUCCUUCCUCAACUUGUAUUAUUCUGUCUUGCAUUAAAAUUUUGAUUGUUAAGGGUAAGAUUCCUAUUACGUGUUUUGCAGGAGCAUGGAGUUGAACAAUGGUUUUUUUUUUUAUUACAUGAUGCUUUGGAACCUGCUGUCCUCUUUCUAAUUUUGUAUUUGUAACUUACUCAGUUUCUAUAUUUGUACGUUACCCAGUUCUACUACUUUAAUACAGAUUGGGUGUGAAUUGUAAUCGUGUGUUCUUUUAGGGAUCUCUUAGGGAUCUAUCAAGCAUUAUAGGGAAUGCCCUAAAAGUGAACAAGGAAUUAUAACUUGGUGCAGUCUGCUUAAAGGAGGUGGUUUCUUGUUACUGGUUCUACAAGCUUCAAGUCUAAGCUUUACCACUAGGAUCCAUUUUUUAUAUUCUCUCGUUUUGUUAAAUAUUUCUAUGUUCAUUUUUAUUUCAUUUUAUGCAGAUGUUUCUAGAUGAUGAUGUUUUCAAGAACAAUGCACCCAGUGUCUUGUGAUUGACUUUUUACAUUUUAAUCUACAAUUUGUUCUUGGUCUUACAAAACAGUAACUUUUAUCUUCUUGUUUGUGUUUUUUUCUAGGACCAUUCAUGCUUGUUAAGGAAACCAUGACCUAGAGUUCAGCUUUACCUGGUUAUUAUAUUUUAGUCUUAAGUUUUGAGUUUGUGUUAUUCCAGGAGCAUGGACUUUGAGCUUUUGAGUCUUUUACUUGUGCUAACAAAAUUGCAGUGACCUAAGUUUUAGCUGAGAUCAUUUAUGUUAGUGUUUGACCUUUAGUUGGACACUUUUCUAGGAUCUUUUAAAUUUAUCGAGGACCAUGUUCGAACUACAAUCAACCCAGGAAGCAUUACCUACUUCUUUUCCUUUCUUUGCUUGUAUUUUCCUUUUAUCUUGCAUCAAGAUUUUGAGUGUGGUUUAAGAUUCUAAUUUAUGUCUUUCCAAGAGCAUGAUGUUCGAACAAUGAGUGUCUAGUUUCAGAUCACUUAAAAAAAUUAACCCUGGCCAGUCUUCAAGCUAUAAAUAGAGAUCAUCAUCCUCACAAUCCAUUACAUGCAACUGCAAAAUUAUGGAACUAUGUCUUUCUUUACCCUUUUGGUUUCAUAUUUUUGGCAGCCAUCUUCUCUCUUCAUCGAUUCUUUCUUUUGGUCGUCUGUGUGCGCUUUCUGCAAUCUGUGAAGGCCAGGGUUUUCAGUGAUGAAGGAAAUUUAGGGUUUCUUGAACUAUGAAGUUUUUUUAGUGAUGAUGAAUAUUUUUAGUUCAUUUUGCUUAUGAAUGGAGUUUGGAUCCUUGUGUGGCAGUUUUGUUGAAUUUGCUUUUGAUUCUACUACUUCCAGGACUGAAAUUAAUUGGAUAUAUAUAUUUUAUUGGAAUCUUGACGUGGAGAAGUUUCUGCCAUGUUUUUUUGUGAUAGAGAAUGUUUCGCACAGUGGCAUUGGAUGUUUCAAGAGAAUCCCUGACUAACAGGGAAUUAAUGUGAUUGGAGUGCAUGCCAUAUGAGAAAUUCUAGCCUAGCUGGUUUGAUUUCCUUUCUUUCUCCUCAGAUUGCAUUGUUCUGAAUUAAAUAAAGCUUUUCUUGGCUUAAUGCUGAUAUACCCUACAUUUGAACUGAUCAUGUUGCUUUCAGGAGGGCACGGUGUCACUUAACUUUAUUUUGGUAUUGCAGUCAACAUUCUUAACUUUAUUUUGGUAUUGCAGUCAACAUUCUUAACUUUAUUU